UACGGAGGAUCCAAGCGUUAUCCGGAAUCAUUGGGUUUAAAGGGUCCGUAGGCGGUUUAAUAAGUCAGUGGUGAAAGCCCAUCGCUCAACGGGGAAACGGCCAUUGAUACUGUAGGACUUGAAUUAUUAGGAAGUAACUAGAAUAUGUAGUGUAGCGGUGAAAUGCUUAGAGAUUACAUGGAAUACCAAUUGCGAAGGCAGGUUACUACUAAUGGAUUGACGCUGAUGGACGAAAGCGUGGGUAGCGAACAGG
rnacentral:rRNA from 1 species